AAUAUGGAGAGUUUGAUCCUGGCUCAGAGUGAACGCUGGCGGCGUGCCUAAUACAUGCAAGUCGAACGGAGAUUAAGUAGCUUGCUAUUUAAUCUUAGUGGCGCACGGGUGAGUAAUAUAUAGCUAAUCUGCCCUACACUAGAGGACAACAGUUGGAAACGACUGCUAAUACUCUAUACUCCUUCUUUACAUAAGUUAAGUCGGGAAAGUUUUUCGGUGUAGGAUGAGGCUAUAUCGUAUCAGCUAGUUGGUAGGGUAACGGCCUACCAAGGCUAUGACGCGUAACUGGUCUGAGAGGAUGAUCAGUCACACUGGAACUGAGACACGGUCCAGACUCCUACGGGAGGCAGCAGUAGGGAAUAUUGCUCAAUGGGGGAAACCCUGAAGCAGCAACGCCGCGUGGAGGAUGACACUUUUCGGAGCGUAAACUCCUUUUCUUGGGAAAGAAUUAUGACGGUACCCAAGGAAUAAGCACCGGCUAACUCCGUGCCAGCAGCCGCGGUAAUACGGAGGGUGCAAGCGUUACUCGGAAUCACUGGGCGUAAAGGACGCGUAGGCGGAUUAUCAAGUCUCUUGUGAAAUCUAACGGCUUAACCGUUAAACUGCUUGGGAAACUGAUAAUCUAGAGUAAGGGAGAGGCAGAUGGAAUUCUUGGUGUAGGGGUAAAAUCCGUAGAGAUCAAGAAGAAUACCCAUUGCGAAAGCGAUCUGCUGGAACUUAACUGACGCUAAUGCGUGAAAGCGUGGGGAGCAAACAGGAUUAGAUACCCUGGUAGUCCACGCCCUAAACGAUGUAUACUAGUUGUUGCUUCGCUAGUCGAGGCAGUAAUGCACCUAACGGAUUAAGUAUACCGCCUGGGGAGUACGGUCGCAAGAUUAAAACUCAAAGGAAUAGACGGGGACCCGCACAAGCGGUGGAGCAUGUGGUUUAAUUCGAAGAUACGCGAAGAACCUUACCCGGACUUGAUAUCUAACAAAUCAUCCAGAGAUGGAAGAGUGUCUGCUUGCAGAAAUGUUAAGACAGGUGCUGCACGGCUGUCGUCAGCUCGUGUCGUGAGAUGUUGGGUUAAGUCCCGCAACGAGCGCAACCCACGUCAUUAGUUGCUAACGGUUCGGCCGAGCACUCUAAUGAGACUGCCUUCGUAAGGAGGAGGAAGGUGUGGACGACGUCAAGUCAUCAUGGCCCUUAUGUCCGGGGCGACACACGUGCUACAAUGGCGUAUACAAUAAGACGCAAUAUCGCGAGAUGGAGCAAAUCUAUAAAAUACGUCCCAGUUCGGAUUGGAGUCUGCAACUCGACUCCAUGAAGCCGGAAUCGCUAGUAAUCGUAGAUCAGCCAUGCUACGGUGAAUACGUUCCCGGGUCUUGUACUCACCGCCCGUCACACCAUGGGAGUUGAUUUCACUCGAAGCCCAAAUACCAAACCGGUUAUGGUCCACAGUGGAAUCAGCGACUGGGGUGAAGUCGUAACAAGGUAACCGUAGGAGAACCUGCGGUUGGAUCACCUCCUUUCUA
rnacentral:rRNA from 1 species